rnacentral:lncRNA from 13 species
CUUGUUGACAUUCUGCUCACUCCCUCCAGAAGAGAAAAAAAACACCAGUCAAAGGAAACAGGAGUGAGGAGGAAACUAAAUGGUAUUACAGGAGCUGGCGGGAUCCAUUUCUACAUGUUUUUAUUAAAAACGUUUUGAACCAGUGUGCCUACAAACCAACCAACAAAAGAUGGAGAAAGAGAGAAAGAAACACAAAGCCAAAUCCAUUUGCCCAGUGGAUGAUGAUGGGCAGCCAGGACCUUCACAGCCAGCAGAGGAAUUGGAACCCGAAAUCAUUACCGAGUCCCUGUCCAUAGAGAGCCUUCGUACCCUGAGGAAAGAUUACACCCAACGGCCUGAUGAAACUAUAUUAAGAUGGUCUGAAUCUGGGAUGCUGCAGGCAAUGGUACAAUUCUGGAUGGCCCUGAAGCGAGGCAUUUGGGAUCCCUGUCAUGUGAUCUAAGUAUUGACCAAGGGGGCCUGAAGCUUUCAGUCUCUGGACACGGCUCUUAAGAAGUGUGAAGGAAAGAUACCUGUGCUGAGAAGACCUCCAGCUGCAGUUAAACCCCUGGAAGACCAUGGAGCAAGGGAUUCAAUGCCUGAGAGAACUGGCAGUGAUAGAGAUCAUAUUCUCAGAUGACCAAGCAAUUAGCCCUGACAUGGUAAAACGUACACCGGUGAUGUGGCUGAAACUUGCAUGACAUGCGCCACCAGAAUACGCCCCUGCUUUAGCAAUGAUGACGUGGAAUGAGGGGGAUGAGACAGAAUGGACAAAACUCAUCAGAAACUCAAGAAGGAGCUGAAAGAGUGCCUUCUCCAAAUCACAUCAGUGCAGACUGGAGGCCCUGUUACCAGAAGCAGACGUCCCACAGCUAGGGAGAGAGGUACACCCCAAGAGCUGAACUAUGCUUUUUCCUGUGUGACAGUGGGGAAGACAUGAGGAGGUGGGAUGGAAAACCAACUUCUGUCCUGGCUGCAGGGGUGAGUGAAUUGAAGGAUGGUAAUGCUCAGAGAGGGAGCUCCACCAGAAGGGAAGUAGCUCAAGUUUCAAAUGAUAACCAGGACUAGAGGGGCCCUGCCUCUAGC